rnacentral:rRNA from 1 species
GACAGAGGAUGCAAGCGUUAUCCGGAAUGAUUGGGCGUAAAGCGUCUGUAGGUGGCUUUUCAAGUCCGCCGUCAAAUCCCAGGGCUCAACCCUGGACAGGCGGUGGAAACUACCAAGCUGGAGUACGGUAGGGGCAGAGGGAAUUUCCGGUGGAGCGGUGAAAUGCGUAGAGAUCGGAAAGAACACCGGUGGCGAAGGCGGCCAUCUGGACCGCAACUGACGCUGAGGCGCGAAAGCGUGGGGAGCAAACAGGG